rnacentral:lncRNA from 1 species
CGCCGCAGGGUAAACCACCGCCUCUCAGGUCCCCCGACUGAUUCUACCAUAGAGGCCAACGAUAGACAAUAACUCCCCCCCGAACACAGCUUACAACUUUCAUCGUACUGUGCUCUCCAAAGAGCAACUCUUCUCAAAAUCUCACUCAAAAGGUGCUGAGUUGGAAUCCCAUUCUANGAACCGCUGAUAUCCGCCGCAGGGUAAACCACUGCCUCUCAGGUCCCCCGACUGAUUCUACCAUAGAGGCCAACAAUAGACAAUAACUCCCCCCCGAACACAGCUUACAACUUUCAUCGUAUUGUGCUCUCCAAAGAGCAACUCUUCUAAAAAUCUCACUCAAAAGGUGCUGAGUUGGAAUCCCAUUCUAACUAAGGAUUCUUGUGGUUCCGGAGGAUC